GGGGAAUAUUGCACAAUGGGCGCAAGCCUGAUGCAGCGACGCCGCGUGAGGGAUGACGGCCUUCGGGUUGUAAACCUCUUUCAGCAGGGAAGAAGCCACAAGUGACGGUACCUGCAGAAGAAGCGCCGGCUAACUACGUGCCAGCAGCCGCGGUAAUACGUAGGGCGCAAGCGUUGUCCGGAAUUAUUGGGCGUAAAGAGCUCGUAGGCGGUUUGUCGCGUCUGCUGUGAAAGCCCGGGGCUCAACCCCGGGUCGGCAGUGGGUACGGGCAGACUGGAGUGCAGUAGGGGAGACUGGAAUUCCUGGUGUAGCGGUGAAAUGCGCGGAUAUCAGGAGGAGCACCGAUGGCGAAGGCAGGUCUCUGGGCUGUUACUGACGCUGAGGAGCGAAAGCAUGGGGAGCGAAC
rnacentral:rRNA from 1 species